AGAAAGAGAAAAAAGCCACAGUUGUAUUAAGCUCUAAUAAAAAUAUGUACAAACAUAUCAUUUAAGAAUUGUUGGAUAAGACAUAGAUUUAUUUUUAAAUUUUUUUAUUUUUAUAAAAACAACAUUGGACUACAUAUGGCUAAAUUUUCUUUAAAAAAGUGUACAAGUAAGUAUGUAACUUUACAAGUAAACAUGUUAUAUUAAAGAGGGACAAUUAAGGGGGCCAUUGUGGAAUAAGAGAUAUUUGGCAUUGACCAUGUUCCAAAAUAUGUGAAAGGAGGCAUGAGUGCCCUAAUCAUGUGUGCCAAAUAUUACAUCAUUUGAGUGUAGAACCACAUGUUUUGUGCCAAAAGUUUGUAGUCCUUAGUUUUGUUACAUUCAACAAACCCACCAAAAAAGUAUGUUAAACUUUUUUCAAAAGUAUGUUCCCAAGGAGCCAAUGUGUGAUU
rnacentral:lncRNA from 1 species